GGAGGCAUGGCUCAGGAGGCAGAGCGGUUGGUCUGGGAAUUAGAAGGUUCUUGGUUCGAUCCCCAGCUCCUCCA